rnacentral:rRNA from 1 species
GACGAAGGUGGCGAGCGUUGUUCGGAAUCACUGGGCAUAAAGCGCACGUAGGCGGUGGCGUAAGUCGGGUGUGAAAUCCCUCGGCCUAACCGAGGAACUGCGCCCGAUACUGCGUUGCUUGAGGACCAAAGGGGUGCAUGGAAUUUCCGGUGGAGCGGUGAAAUGCGUUGAUAUCGGAAGGAACGUCGGCGGCGAAAGCGGUGCACUGGUUGGUCUCUGACGCUGAGGUGCGAAAGCCAGGGGAGCAAACGGG